CUUGUGAAUUAUUCUUUACGGAACGCGGGUAGUAUUUGACUUUGAAGCUGAAAAUGGGUUCGUUGGCUUUGGUCUUGAUGAGCAGAUUCUGAUGUCUGGGGGGUCUGUUCUGUGGUGGGCUAUGAUGGGUUUGAGAUUUUGCUUCUGAUGGAAAUGAAAUUAGUUUUUGGUACCGGCUCAUUCAUGAUUGGUCUUCAAGGAGUUCAAUGGUUCUUUGAUUUUCAUGAAGGAAAAUUUUGAUUUUUAGCAGUCAAAUUUUCAAUGGUUGUUGAUGGGUUUUAGGAAAUUUGGUUUCUGGAGCUUCGAUAUUCAUAUAGUAUUGUUUGAGGUUGACCCAUCUUCUCAGCUGGAGGAGAAGAAGAAGAAUAAGGAAUUCUCUGGGUUUAAGGUCUUUUAGAGUUUCAACGGCUUACCGUGACGCAGUAAUGGCAGAAGAGGCUAAUUCCUGGAUUAGGAGAGCGAAGUUUUCUCACACAGUUUGUCAUCGGUUGGACUCCUCAAGAUUGGCCUCUAUUCCAUUCUCAGUACAGCUUGACCGAUAUUCAGGUUUGAAAUCAAGUCCCGGAACAACUUCUUCUCGUGAGAAAUCUAUCCCUAGUGAUUCAAAGAUUCAGCGGAAUCCUUUGACAGUCGAGCAGAGAUCUUUGUCCUCUUUACCUGAAACUGUGUACUAUGACGCGUUCAAGGAAGCAAGGUUUGAGCCGAAGAGAUUCCUGUCUCCCUUUCCCGCUGACCGAUUUUCAGGUUCGAAAUCAAGAUCCGGAACAACUGCUACUGGUGAGAAAUCUAUUCCCAGUAAUUCAAAGAUUCAGCGGAACCCUAUUAACAAGCAGAGAUCUUUGUCCCCUUCACCUGAAACUGUGCUUCCUGAUGCGUUCAAGGAAGCAAGGUCUGAGCGGAAGAGAUUCCUGUCCCCCUUUCCGAGGAGAAGGGAAUCGCAAAAGGGGAUUAUGAAAAAGUUUGUGAAUAAGGAUUUCCCAGAAAUCACGGCAUCCAAUUCGAGCUCUCCAUCGAAUACUAGCCCGCUUAGGCACUUGGCUUCGCUGAAAGUCAAUGAAAAAUCGAAGACCCGGAAGGAGUUGUCGUGGGCAAAGUAUUUUGAUCAUGGUGGAGGAAGGGUGACUGCUGUAGAAACUGCAGAUGAAUGGACCGUUGAUCUGUCUAAGUUGUUUCUGGGGCUUAAGUUUGCUCACGGGGCUCACAGUCGGCUUUACCAUGGGAUAUACAAUGAUGAACCUGUUGCAGUCAAAAUUAUUCGGGUUCCUGAUGAUGACGAAAAUGGAGCCUUGGAGGCUCGACUAGAGAAGCAAUUCAAUCGGGAAGUCACUCUUCUAUCUGGUCUCUACCAUCAAAAUGUCAUAAAGUUCGUCGCAGCAUGCAGAAAGCCACCAGUUUAUUGUGUCGUCACAGAAUAUCUAUCGGAGGGCUCCUUGAGGGCAUAUUUGCAUAAGCUCGAACCUGAAACGCUUCCUUUACAGAAACUAAUCGCAAUUGCUCUGGAUAUUGCUCGUGGAAUGGAAUACAUUCACUCUCAAGGUGUAAUUCAUCGAGAUCUUAAACCAGAAAAUAUCCUUAUUGACCAAGACUUCCACAUGAAGGUCGCUGAUUUUGGUAUAGCUUGUGGGGAGGCGUACUGUGAUUCUUUAGCUGAUGACCCUGGGACUUAUCGCUGGAUGGCACCUGAGAUGAUCAAACAUAAAUCCUAUGGUCGAAGGGUUGAUGUGUACAGUUUUGGGCUCAUCUUGUGGGAAAUGGUGGCUGGAACAAUUCCGUAUGAGGAUAUGAAUCCCGUACAGGCUGCAUUUGCUGUAGUUAUUAAGAAUUUGAGACCUCCUAUUCCAGGUGACUGUCCGCCUGCCAUGCAAGCUUUAAUUGAGCAAUGCUGGUCCCUACAACCAGAGAAAAGGCCAGAGUUUUGGCAGGUUGUGAAGGUAUUGGAACAAUUUGAGUCUUCGCUUGCCAGUGAUGGAACCUUGACUCUGGUACAAAAUCCUACUUGCCAAGAUCAUAAGAAAGGACUUCUCCAUCGGAUCCAAAAGCUUAGUCCCGCACAUCCUAAUAGCUCAUCAAUGCCUAAACCUAAAUUCACUUGAAUCUUUCCUAGGACCUGGCUUUGUAGCUGACCAGGCCGUUGUAAUUAGAAAGAAGGAGCAAAAGGCAUUGAAGGUUAUACCAACCCCUGAAGUUAGCAGUGAUACUAGCGUAAUUGAUGAAAAUAGUAUAUUUGAAAUGAGCAAUGAAGAUUGACAGGAUCUGGAUUUGAGAGCAGCAAAUGCGAUAUGUCUGUGUCUGGUUAAAAAUGUUUUUGUAAAUGUGCAUGGAAUAUCUACGACAAAGGAAAUCUGAGAAAAGCUCGAAGAGUUGUAUCAGACGAAGGACGUCUCAAAUUGGAUGUACUUGAAGAAAAAUUUCAUACAUUGCAGAUGAGUGAAUGUACAAUUAUUUUAAAUCAUUUAAGUGUUUUCAAUGGCAUUGUCUCUGAGCUAGAAUCUAUUGGAGUUAAAAUUGAUGAUGAGGAUCAAGCCUUGAGACUCAUUUGGUCACUUUCACCUUCCUAAGAGCAUAUGAAGUCUAUUUUGAUACAUGAGAAUGAGAAAAUAAUUUUUUUAGAGGUUACAAGUAAAAUUUUUUAUGAAGAAAGAAGACUAGGUAGUGGAAAAAAUUGUCCACCUGAGAACUUAGUAAUGGUAGUAGUUGGAAAUGAGAAGAUAAAAAACUGUGAAAAAAAAAGCAGUCUGCUGGAGGUCUGGACAAUCUGGGCACGUUAAGAAAAAUUGUCUAAGAGCUGGAGUAGGUUUGACAAGUGGCUCCAAUUCAGUAAAUGGAGAUGGUAAUGAUGCAAACAUUGUGUCUCUCUCCAUAAAAGAUAAUUUAUUGUAAAAAAAAUGACAUGUACAUCCUAAUAACAUGCUGCUAAUUCCCAAAAUUGCCAUGAUAGAGGAUGUAUUAAUGUUAACGGGUUCACAAGUUUGCACACAGGCAUUGAUUUAACAUUGAUGCAGGGUGUGGUGUGAAUUCAUGUCGAUGAUUGAUGAAUUUUAAGGAAAGCUAAACAUAAAAGUUAUACCAUAAUUUUCAACAAGGUUGUUUUCGACAUGGGCCGAAGUGAAAUGCUUAGAAUUGGUUUAUUUUAAGUUGGUAUGCUUUUAUGGUGAAGCAUGAUAACAAACGUUAUGAAGAUAUUCAUUAGGGUGGAGCUUGACUGUGGAAUCAAUCAAAAUCACAAGGUGGAGAUUGUUGGAAUUGUGCUCAUUUCUUAGUUCUACAUGGAUGGGAAGUGAAGGAGAGCAACAGCCUUGGGCCUAUAUAAGGAGGUUAAGCCUCAUUGAUUUAAAUACACCAGUUGAUAGUUUAUCUGGUAAUUUUUUACUCUAGUUAAAUUCAUUUGUUGACCUUGUUGUGUAAAAGGGAAAAAUGUCAAAGUUAAAGUUUUGUAAGUGGAGAAGUUUUGUGGGUGUAUUUGAGAUGAGGAGAAAAAUUAUGUGAUUGUAAUAAUUUUUUAUAUAGUGAAUUUUUCUUAUUUGGGUCU